rnacentral:lncRNA from 1 species
CGCCUGUUUAGCGCUGUCAGAGCUUUCCGCCUCUACAGCGCUGCCGGAGUCUCCCGCCUGUUCGGAGCUGCCAGUCUGCAAGGAGCUGCCAGUCUGCAAGGAGCUGCCAGUCUGCAAGGAGCUGCCAGUCUGCAAGGAGCUGCCAGUCUGCAAGGAGCUGCCAGUCUGCAAGGAGCUGCCAGUCUGCAAGGAGCUGCCAGUUUGCAAGGAGCCGCCAGAGCUGCCAGUCUGCAUGGAGCCGCCAGGGCCGCCAGUCAGCAUGGAGCCGCCAGGGCCGCCAGUCAGCAUGGAGCCGCCAGGGCCGCCAGUCAGCAUGGAGCCGCCAGGGCCGCCAGUCAGCAUGGAGCAGCCAGGGCCGCCAGUCAGCAUGGAGCAGCCAGGGCCGCCAGUCAGCAUGGAGCAGCCAGGGCCGCCAGUCAGCAUGGAGCAGCCAGGGCCGCCAGUCAGCAUGGAGCAGCCAGGGCCGCCAGUCAGCAUGGAGCAGCCAGGGCCGCCAGUCAGCAUGGAGCAGCCAGAGCAGCCAGUCAGCAUGGAGCAGCCAGUCAGCAUGGAGCAGCCAGUCAGCAUGGAGCAGCCAGAGCUGCCAGUCAGCAUGGAGCAGCCAGAGCUGCCAGUCAGCAUGGAGCAGCCAGAGCUGCCAGUCAGCAUGGAGCAGCCAGAGCUGCCAGUCAGCAUGGAGCAGCCAGUCAGCAUGGAGCAGUCAGAGCUGCCAGUCAGCAUGGGGCAGCCAGUCAGCAUGGAGCAGCCUGAGCUGCCAGUCGACCAGACUCUUCCAGAUCUGCCAGUCGACCAGACUCUUCCAGAUCUGCCAGUCGACCAGACUCUUCCAGAUCUGCCAGUCGACCAGACUCUUCCAGAUCUGCCAGUCGACCAGACUCUUCCAGAUUCUCCAGUAGACCAGACUCUUCCAGAUUCUCCAGUCAGCCAGGAUCUGCUAGAUCCAACUACCUGCCUGGGCUUCCUCUCAGUGCUGAGCUUCCUCUCAGUGCUGAGCUUCCUCUCAGUGCUGAGCUGCCCAUCAGUCCCGAGCUACCUCUGUCCCGAGCUAAGGACGCUAAGGAGGUGGACUAAAACUAUUAUGGAGUGGGGUCUACGUCCAGCGCCAGAGCCGCCACCGCGGACAGAUGCCCACCCAGACCCUCCCCU